rnacentral:rRNA from 1 species
AUACGGAGGGUGCGAGCGUUAAUCGGAAUUACUGGGCGUAAAGCGUGCGUAGGCGGUUUGUUAAGUCAGAAGUGAAAGCCCUGGGCUCAACCUGGGAACGGCUUUUGAGACUGGCAGACUCGAGUUGAGUAGAGGGGAGUGGAAUUUCCGGUGUAGCGGUGAAAUGCGUAGAGAUCGGAAGGAACACCAGUGGCGAAGGCGACUCCCUGGACUCAAACUGACGCUGAGGUACGAAAGCGUGGGUAGCAAACAGGAUUAGAAACACCAGUAGUCC